rnacentral:rRNA from 1 species
UACGUAGGUGGCAAGCGUUGUCCGGAUUUACUGGGCGUAAAGGGCGUGCAGGCGGUCUGUUAAGUGCAGGGUGAAAGCUCCCGGCUCAACUGGGAGAGGUCCUUGCAUACUGGCGGACUUGAGGGGGGUAGAGGAGAGUGGAAUUCCCGGUGUAGCGGUGAAAUGCGCAGAUAUCGGGAAGAACACCUGUGGCGAAGGCGGCUCUCUGGGACGGUACUGACGCUGAGACGCGAAAGCGUGGGGAGCAAACAGG